CGCUGCGCUACGCGGGCCUGGACGACACGGACAGUGAGGACGAGCUGCCUCCGGGCUGGGAGGAGAGAACCACCAAGGACGGCUGGGUUUACUACGCCAAGUAAGGGGGCCGCAGUGGGGCCGCGGACGCACCUGGGACCCUACACUGCCCACGGACGCCACCUGCGCGGGGAGGGCGCGCACUCCGGCGCCGCGAGUGCGGUGCAAAGUGAAAUCACACCGAGGAGAAGACUCAGUGGGAACAUCCAAAAACUGGAAAAAGAAAACGAGUGGCAGGAGAUUUGCCAUACGGAUGGGAACAAGAAACUGAUGAGAACGGACAAGUGUUUUUUGUUGACCAUAUAAAUAAAAGAACCACCUACUUGGACCCAAGACUGGCGUUUACUGUGGAUGAUAAUCCGACCAAGCCAACCACCCGGCAAAGAUACGACGGCAGCACCACUGCCAUGGAAAUUCUCCAGGGCCGGGAUUUCACUGGCAAAGUGGUUGUGGUCACUGGAGCUAAUUCAGGAAUAGGGUUCGAAACUGCCAAGUCUUUUGCCCUCCAUGGUGCACAUGUGAUCUUGGCCUGCAGGAACAUGGCAAGGGCGAGUGAAGCAGUGUCACGCAUUUUAGGAGAAUGGAAAACAAAAUACCACCCUCCGCCAGAAAAGUGCAGAAUAAAAAUUUUUGACUAGCAAAAGAAGGAAAAAAUAAAAGAUCUUGAAUGGUCUCAUCAAUUACG
rnacentral:sRNA from 1 species